ensembl:lncRNA
AAAACAAAAAAAAACCUAAGAACCCAUAAACCUCUGGAUUAACUUCAGUAUUACAUGUUCACCACAAUGUUUGUGACACUAUGUGUCACACAGAAGUAGCCCAUGAGUAAUUAUGAUUUUCUGUUAUUUAAAAUGGGCACUUACAGUUUAUACAUGAGCAAGACAACUUAUCAGAACUGGUUUAAUUAUGUGCACAGAUACUGUGUGUACACCUCAAAGCAUUACAUGGUUAUCUUUAGUCUAUUGAGCAGAUUCAUCCUUGCACUAAACUUUACGUAAAAAUGUUGCUGUUAACUCAUCUGCAUGUGUUUAAAAUGUAAUGAUAUUAUUACUGUAGACCCUGUUUUAUUCUAAACACAUUAAUUUAUAAUAUAUUUAGGCUUAAAAUGAAGUUUAUUUUGCACUCAGAUUUUUCCAUCUUGCAUGGAAUUAAACAUUUGUAUUAAAAAACAUGUUUGUCCCCUUUUUCUCCCGUUAUAAAGGUAAGCUACCUUAAGAGGGUCUGGUGGGUGUUUUUGUUAUUUUAAUGUGCGGAAACCUGAGCAGAAGUUACUGUAUGAAGCUGUGCAUGAUUUAUGGAGGUAGUCAUUUCUGUAGGACUGGUCUAGCUGUUUUCAUGUUCACAAACUGUUGUCUUACUGAUAAAAAAAGAAUUAUUCUAAAUGGAAAAGCUAUGGUACUGCAAACACAGCAUACCAUUUCUGUAAGGCACUUUGACUGUAAGGCACUUUGACAGCUAAUUGUCUUUUUAUAAAAAGCUAUUUGCAUCCAUCCCAUGUGGAGUACUGAAUAGGCAGUGUAGUCUUGUGGAAACAAUUUGCAAAUGUUGUGCUUCUUUAGUUAGAGGAAAUGAAACUUUUGUGUGUAAUGUAGUCUUUCCUAAUCCACUAAUUAAGUCACAAUUCAGAUAUCCACAUCUGUUCUCAGAUAUGUUUACAAGCCAAUUCAAAACACUGAUACAUGAAUUAAUCUUGAGCGCAUAAGCUUAGAUUUCUUCUUACAUGGAAGAGUUGAUCUUAUUAACACGUGAUCAUAACUGUCUAUAUUGUAAAUAUAAGACUUUGUAUAAAUGCUCUUUCUGAGAGCAUGGUAUUUAAAUGUUUUUAAAACUGUAAGUAAGCAGUUCUAGAAACUAUAUUUUAAUAAAAUCUGUAAGAUCCAAGCUGAGAAACUGCAAAAAGAAGAAAAGUGCUAAGAUGACAUCUUGCAAGAAAAUGGUAUACAUUAGCGGAGCCAGUGCUUACUCCAGGCAUUCUGAAUUACUGAUCUCUAGUCUUCAGCUGAAUUACUUUCACAUAAUUUAUCACUUAAGAGUGCAUAAUGUUAAAUUCUUGACUCAAAACUCAAAUGCUUUAUUGGAAGUCAGCCUAAUUUUAUGUGUUUUUGUAAGAAUUACAUGUUAGUAAUAUAUUAAGUUGUACAUAUGGAACACUUGACUACUGUUAGUCCUGUUGUUGUCUUAUUAAGCUACAGUAGUGGGCUUUAUUCACUUGCAGAAUUAAACAUUACGGUUUAAUUGUUGUAAAAUUUUAUAAAUCUCUUUGGGUUAUUUUGGGUGACCCAAAUAUAAUGUAAGUCUCAAUGACAAAAUGAGUGAGAAAAUGGAUGUUAAGCCAACAUGUGGUAUUUAUAAAACACUGUAGUAAGUGUGCAAAUGCUCUAAAUGCAGCUGCAUGGACAUCAUUCACUAGCAUGAGUCUGUUUAGCUUUUUGUAAAAAAUAUUUUAAAUUUAAACUCUUAAAAUAGGAAGUGGGCAUAUGGCUGCUUAGAACAAGCAGAAGAAUCCUCAUUAAAAAAAUAACAAAAAGCAAAGUAUCUAUUUAGGUAGGUUCUCCAUACACACUGUUAAUGCCAGUUUGCCUCAAACUCUGAAUUUGGCAUUUUGGAAUUCUUACUGGUAAAGCCAGAACAUGCAAAGAAUAAACGUGACCUGAUAAGCCUGUUUAAAACUUGGUUGGUUGUUGGUGUGCAUACAUACCUGUGACAUCCACCAAACCACAAUCAGGAAUGCUUUGGGGAACACAGUUUGAGUGCAGUCAUUCUAGAAAUUCCAUGCUCAAAAGAAGGUAUGAGCUUCAUUUCUGUACAACUUUGGCCCACAGAAAUACUUUUUCUUGACUUGCCAAAAGUUAACAUGAAACAUUGGUACCACAGGACUCCUAUCAGCCAGAUCACGGGAUCUGUCGCUAUUACUGUUACAGUUAAGCAUUCAGCAUCAAUGCUCCUUUUAUAUACCCCCAUAGCAGGCUGUGUGACAGAGCCAUAAUAAUGGUGUUUCUUGCAAAAGUUAAACAGGAAAAAAGACAAGUUUGCUGUUACUUAAAUUAUUCUCAUGCCAGUGUUUGCUUAGCCUUUGAAUAUCCAUUAUAUAAUCUCUAUGAUUUUGGUCUUUGGUAUUUUGAAGUCUGUAAACAUACUAAAAUUGAGAGGAAUCCAAAAUUAACAUAGUCUAUUACCUGUAGCCUCCCUGCUCUGUGUAGAAGGUUUGCACAACUAUUUAAUACACAUGAAAUGUUAUACUUUAUAUCUAUUUAUCUAUAUAAAACCUGCUUAUUUAAUAAAACUGAGAACCAC